rnacentral:rRNA from 1 species
ACGAACGCUGGCGGCGUGCUUAACACAUGCAAGUCGAACGGUGAAGAGGAGCUUGCUCCUUGGAUCAGUGGCGAACGGGUGAGUAACACGUGAGCAAUCUGCCCUUGACUCUGGGAUAACUGCGGGAAACUGUAGCUAAUACCGGAUACGACCUUGGAAGGCAUCUUCUGGGGUGGAAAGAAUUUUGGUCAAGGAUGAGCUCGCGGCCUAUCAGCUGGUUGGUGAGGUAAUGGCUCACCAAGGCGACGACGGGUAGCCGGCCUGAGAGGGUGACCGGCCACACUGGGACUGAGACACGGCCCAGACUCCUACGGGAGGCAGCAGUGGGGAAUAUUGCACAAUGGGCGAAAGCCUGAUGCAGCAACGCUGCGUGAGGGACGAAGGCCUUCGGGUUGUAAACCUCUUUUAGUAGGGAAGAAGCGGACUGGGUUUUCCUGGAAGUGGACGGUACCUGCAGAAAAAGCACCGGCUAACUACGUGCCAGCAGCCGCGGUAAUACGUAGGGUGCAAGCGUUGUCCGGAAUUAUUGGGCGUAAAGAGCUCGUAGGCGGUUUGUCGCGUCUGCUGUGAAAACCCGAGGCUCAACCUCGGGCCUGCAGUGGGUACGGGCAGACUAGAGUGCGGUAGGGGAGAUUGGAAUUCCUGGUGUAGCGGUGGAAUGCGCAGAUAUCAGGAGGAACACCAAUGGCGAAGGCAGAUCUCUGGGCCGUAACUGACGCUGAGGAGCGAAAGCAUGGGGAGCGAACAGGAUUAGAUACCCUGGUAGUCCAUGCCGUAAACGUUGGGAACUAGAUGUGGGGACCAUUCCACGGUCUCCGUGUCGCAGCUAACGCAUUAAGUUCCCCGCCUGGGGAGUACGGCCGCAAGGCUAAAACUCAAAGGAAUUGACGGGGGCCCGCACAAGCGGCGGAGCAUGCGGAUUAAUUCGAUGCAACGCGAAGAACCUUACCAAGGCUUGACAUAUAGAGGAAACGGUUGGAAACAAUCGCCCCGCAAGGUCUCUAUACAGGUGGUGCAUGAUUGUCGUCAGCUCGUGUCGUGAGAUGUUUGGGUUAAGUCCCGCAACGAGGCGCAACCCUCGUCCUUAUGUUUGCCAGCCACGUAAUGGGUGGGAACUCAUGGGAUACUGCCGGGGUCAACUCGGAGGAAGGUGGGGAUGACGUCAAAUCAUCAUGCCCCUUAUGUCUUGGACUUCACGCAUGCUACAAUGGCCGGUACAAAGGGCUGCGAUACCGCAAGGUGGAGCGAAUCCCAAAAAGCCGGUCUCAGUUCGGAUUGAGGUCUGCAACUCGACCUCAUGAAGUCGGAGUCGCUAGUAAUCGCAGAUCAGCAACGCUGCGGUGAAUACGUUCCCGGGCCUUGUACA